rnacentral:rRNA from 1 species
UGGGGAAUAUUGGACAAUGGGCGCAAGCCUGAUCCAGCCAUGCCGCGUGUGUGAAGAAGGCCUUAUGGUUGUAAAGCACUUUAAGCGAGGAGGAGGCUACUUUAGUUAAUACCUAGAGAUAGUGGACGUUACUCGCAGAAUAAGCACCGGCUAACUCUGUGCCAGCAGCCGCGGUAAUACAGAGGGUGCAAGCGUUAAUCGGAUUUACUGGGCGUAAAGCGCGCGUAGGCGGCUAAUUAAGUCAAAUGUGAAAUCCCCGAGCUUAACUUGGGAAUUGCAUUCGAUACUGGUUAGCUAGAGUGUGGGAGAGGAUGGUAGAAUUCCAGGUGUAGCGGUGAAAUGCGUAGAGAUCUGGAGGAAUACCGAUGGCGAAGGCAGCCAUCUGGCAUAACACUGACGCUGAGGUACGUAAGCAUGGGGAGCAAACAGG